rnacentral:rRNA from 1 species
CUACGGGCGGCUGCAGUGAGGAAUAUUGGUCAAUGGGCGAAAGCCUGAACCAGCCAAUCCGCGUGCAGGAUGACUGCCCUAUGGGUUGUAAACUGCUUUUAUACAGGAAGAACUUCCCUGACGUGUCGGGGCGUGGCUGUACUGUAAGAAUAAGCAUCGGCUUACUCCGUGCCAGCAGCCGCGGUAAUACGGAGGAUGCAAGCGUUAUCCGGAUUUAUUAGGUCUAAAGGGUGCGUAGGCGGAUGAUUAAGUCAGUGGUGAAAUCCUACAGCUUAACUGUAGAACUGCCAUUGAUACUGGUUAUCUUGAGUUUAGUUGAGGUAGGCGGAAUGUGUGGUGUAGCGGUGAAAUGCUUAGAUAUCACACAGAACACCGAUUGCGAAGGCAGCUUACUAAGCUACAACUGACGCUGAGGCACGAAAGCGUGGGGAGCGAACAGGAUUAGAUACCCCCGUAGUC